UGGGGAAUAUUGCACAAUGGGCGAAAGCCUGAUGCAGCAACGCCGCGUGGAGGGUGAAGGCCUUCGGGUUGUAAACUCUUGUCUUCUGGGACGAUAAUGACGGUACCAGAGGAGGAAGCCACGGCUAACUACGUGCCAGCAGCCGCGGUAAUACGUAGGUGGCAAGCGUUGUCCGGAUUUACUGGGCGUAAAGGAUGCGUAGGCGGAUAUUUAAGUGGGAUGUGAAAUACCCGGGCUCAACCUGGGUGCUGCAUUCCAAACUGGAUAUCUGGAGUGCGGGAGAGGAUAGUGGAAUUCCUAGUGUAGCGGUGAAAUGCGUAGAGAUUAGGAAGAACACCAGUGGCGAAGGCGACUUUCUGGACCGUAACUGACGCUGAGGCAUGAAAGCGUGGGGAGCAAACA
rnacentral:rRNA from 1 species